rnacentral:rRNA from 1 species
UCANCCAUAGUGUGCUCUGGAAACUNUCUGACUUGAGUGCAGAAGGGGAGAGUGGAAUUCCAUGUGUAGCGGUGAAAUGCGUAGAUAUAUGGAGGANCACCAGUGGCGAAAGCGGCUCUCUGGUCUGUCACUGACGCUGAGGCUCGAAAGCGUGGGUAGCGAACAGGAUUAGAUACCCUGGUAGUCCACGCCGUAAACGAUGAGUGCUAGGUGUUAGGCCCUUUCCGGAGCUUAGUGCCGGAGCUAACGCAAUAAGCACUCCGCCUGGGGAGUACGACCGCAAGGUUGAAACUCAAAGGAAUUGACGGGGGCCCGCACAAGCGGUGGAGCAUGUGGUUUAAUUCGAAGCAACGCGAAGAACCUUACCAGGUCUUGACAUCCCGAUGCUAUUCUUAGAGAUAGGAAGUUACUUCGGUACAUCGGAGACAGGUGGUGCAUGGUUGUCGUCAGCUCGUGUCGUGAGAUGUUGGGUUAAGUCCCGCAACGAGCGCAACCCUUAUUGUUAGUUGCCAUCAUUAAGUUGGGCACUCUAGCGAGACUGCCGGUAAUAAACCGGAGGAAGGUGGGGAUGACGUCAAAUCAUCAUGCCCCUUAUGACCUGGGCUACACACGUGCUACAAUGGUCGGUACAACGAGUUGCGAGCCGGUGACGGCAAGCUAAUCUCUGAAAGCCGAUCUCAGUUCGGAUUGGAGGCUGCAACUCGCCUCCAUGAAGUCGGAAUCGCUAGUAAUCGCGGAUCAGCACGCCGCGGUGAAUACGUUCCCGGGCCUUGUACACACCGCCCGUCACACCACGAGAGUUUGUAACACCCGAAGU